CGGAUUAGUCCUUUACCUUCCGUUGAGGAGGGGACGGAAACUCUGGAAAAACAGAGAAUCGAAAGUGAAAGAUAUCAGGCAAAUGAAAAUGAAUAGAAGCUGAUAAACACAGGAGGAAGCUGCUGGAAGGGACCGUGUUGCAAAGCCUCCCCAGAGACACAGAAGAAGAGGGAGGAGAUGGAGUCGUGGAAGC